UUUCAGGCGAUGUUUCUACUGUGACGUAUAAUCAAGUGGACGGAACGCUUCUUCAACAACUGCAGCCACCUCGGUAGCUCGCUAGACAACAAAGUCGGAACAUUCAAGCUCUUUAGACAAUUUCGUGGUUUAUUUGCCACUAUGAUUUAAACAUACUUAUGUGGAAACAACUAGAUACCCCAUUUAAUUGAAUAUUUACGUUGUAAGUCAAUUAGCUGUCUGGUCAAGUUAGCACUAGUCUAGUCGCUAAUGCUAACUAGCUGUUAUCCCCGACCAUGAGUUCACUAAGCUACUCUCCUCCUGAUAAAGAAGAGGAGGUCUGCUGGAUGGAGAAAGAAGCUCUCGUCAAAGAGGAGGCUGUUACAAUACAAGAACAAGUAGAGGGUGGGGCUGUGAAAGAGGAGGAGGAAGACGUUUCAGUGAAAGACGAGGAAGACGCGUUCAGAGUGAAAGAGGAGGAUGUUACAGUAAAAGAAGAGGAGGAAGAGAAAGAGGAGGAUGCAGGUUUUGGAGAGAAGGAGGUUACUGUGACAUUGAAAGAAGAUGAAGAUGUUUUUUUAAUGAAGGACGAAGAGGGGGAGAUUACUGUCACAUUAGAGGACGAAGAAGAGAAGACUGGAGAACUGAUGAACACCAGUAAAUGCAGAGAGAGACUGGACUAUCGUGGAUCCUCUGGGGAGCCUCAACAACAUCAUGAUGCUGACAAGGCAGAGAAUAGUCUCCCCACAUCAAAACACCUCAAGAAACACCAGAGGAGACCCACAGGGAAGAAAUCUCACCGCUGCUCUGACUGUGGGAAGAGAUUCACCUCCUCAGCAGGCAUUAAAAUUCAUCAGAGAAUCCACACAGGAGAGAAAUCAUAUGGCUGUGAUCUAUGUGGGAAGAGUUUUACUACAUCUAGCCAUCUGACUGUACACCAGAGAACACACACAGGAGAGAAACCUUAUAGCUGUGAUCAAUGCGAAAAGAGUUUUACUACAUCUAGCCAUCUAACUGUACACCAGAGAACACACACAGGAGAGAAAUCUUAUAGCUGUGCUCAAUGCGGGAAGAGUUUUACUACAUCUAGUCAUCUGGCUGUACACCAGAGAACACACACAGGAGAGAAACCAUUUCACUGUAAUCAGUGUGGGAAGAGAUACUCUGAUAAAAGAAAUCUGAUUACACAUCAGAAAAUACAUUGUCAGAACUGAAAUGACAAGAUGGUGCUAUAAUUUAUUGCAUCAGAAUUGGGGGUUCUCAGAACUCUCAUCUGUGUGUGUUUUAACAUAUUUAACAGGAGAUUUAACACAGUGGAUUUCUACUUUUUUUUGUUUUUUUUACAAAAAGUGACAAACAAGACUUGUUACAUCGCGUUGGCAACCCACUGGAAUCAAGAUGUAGCUAGCUGUUUUCUACAAAUUGUCCUCUAACCAGUAAUGUACAAAUUAUUCCCAGAUUCCGUGUGGUUUUUGAGCUGUUAGUUUUAACAGGACGUGCAACCUCAUCUCCCUCCUCUCAGCACAAUUGAUUUCAACAUGAUAUCGAUGAGUGAUGACAAAUAAGUGUUGUGUUCCUUUGUUUAGCGACCCCUACAUUUAAAUGCAUCACCCCAAAAUGUAGCUGACUGUCUUCUGCAGGUUGUCCUCUAACUAGUGAGGUAAAAUAUAUCUCCCAUUUCCAUGUGUUUUUUUUGUUGUUUGUGUUCGUUUCAACAGCAUGUAGAACUGAUUUCCCCCCUAAUCUAUAUUGGUUAUGUAUUGCUACUUGUCAAAACAACAGCGUGCUUGUGCAGUUUAUAAGGUCCACAAGUAAUAUGGUUAUUGUGGCAGAUGUUUGUGUGAAUUGUACAUUUUAUGUUUAGGUUUUCAAUAUAUUGGUUUUUGAUUUGGACACGUUAAAACUGUGUUUUGACAUUGGGGCUAUCCCACCUAGCAAAAUAUAAUUGAAAAGAAUAGUAUGUUUCCUCUUUAAGUCAGACAUGUCCUUGGUAAUGACAACUUGGUUGCUGAUUGUCUCAAGGGUUGGCAGUCAAAAAUAUUUGUGUUUUGACACGUUUUUAUUUUAACACGUUUUUCUGUAUUGGAGAUUAGUUUUGUUUGGACUCGUUCUAAGGGGACGAGAGUUCUAUAAGCUAGUGAGUUGUAGGAAGACAAGAGUUCUAGAAGCUAGUGAGUUUUAGGAAGACAAGAGUUCUAGAAGCUAGUGAGUUUUAGGAAGACAAGAGUUCUAGAAGCUAGUGAGUUUUAAGGAAGACGAGAGUAAUAGAAACUAGUGAGUUUUAGGAAGACAAGAGUUCUAGAAGCUAGUGAGUUUUAGAAGACAGUGACUUUUAGGAAGACGAGAGUUCUAGAAGCUUGUGGGGGAAUUUUUUUUUUUUCUUCUUGUUUUUAAUUGUUGACAGCCAGCAGACACCAUGUUUAUAUUGUAGAAGGUGAAGCAUUGUAGUUGAUUAUUAUGUGAAAUGGAAGUUGUUUGCUUUUGGUAGUAAGCAAACUUGUCCAACAAACUUAUAGGACAUAAACUCAGCAAAAAAAGAAACAUCCUCUCACUAUCAACUGCAUUUAUUUUCAGCAAACUUAACACGUGUAAAUAUUUGUAUGAACAUACAUACGAUUCAACAACUGAUACAAACUGAACAAGAUCCUCAGACAUGUGACUAACAGAAAUGGAAUAAUAUGUCCCUGAACAAAGAGGGGGUCAAAAUCAAAAGUAACAGUCAGUAUCUGGUGUGGCCACCAGCUGCAUUAUGUACUGCAGUGCAUCUCCUCCUCAUGGAUUGCACAAGAUUUGCCAGUUCUUGCUGUGAGAUGUUACCCCACUCUUCCACCAAGGCACCUGCAAGUUCCCAGACAUUUCUGGGGGGAAUGGCCCUAGCCCUCACCCUCCAAUCCAAAAGGUCCCAGAUGUGCUCAAUGGGAUUGAGAUCCGGGCCCUUCGCUGGCCAUGGCAGAACACUGACAUUCCUCUCUUGCAGGAAAUCAUGCACAGAACAAGCAGUAUGGCUGGUGGCAUUGUCAUGUCAGGAUGACUGGCAGAGAUGCAAGGAAAAAGCCAUAUCUCAGACUGGCCAGUAAAGAGAAAAGUUUAAGAUGGGCAAAAUAACAGACACUGGGCAGAGGAACUCUGCCUAGACGGCCAGCAUCCCGGAGUCGCCUCUUCACUGUUGACGUUGAGACUUGUGUUUUGAGGGUACUAUUUAAUGAAGCUGCCAGUUGAGGACUUGUCUGUUUCUCAAAAAAAGUGAACGGGUCUGAAUACUUUCCAAAAUAUAAGACCAAGCUGGAAGUGGAAACGCCAGCCCAGCCACAACAAUCCUAGAGGUUCACUGAUGAUCAACCUCCUCCUACACAUCUGACUCCUGAUGAUCAACCUCCUCCUUCACAUCUGACUCCUGAUGAUCAACCUCCUCCUUCACAUCUGACUCCAGUGAUCAAUCCAGAGGGUCUUCUUUUUGGGGGAAUCCCGAUGGACGACGUCAUCCAUUCAGGUUAUCAAUAGGAAGAGCAUCAGCAAUAUGUCAUGUCUGGCAACUUGUCUCGUUUAAUGGAUAUAAAUUGGCAGGUGCACAGGGAGAAACCCCAUUAAAACACUUUUGGAAGUCUUCAACUGUAUCAAAGUCUGUGGCCCGUGAUGUUGGGCAAAUGAUAGUCCCUUAUUAUACAAGAGACCAAAUUCACAAAUUCUACAGCACUACGGCAGAGUCAUGUCUUAAGUGUAAAACUAACAAUGACUCAAUAAUCCUUCUGGGGAUGUUAUGACGUCAUAAAGUUAUGGGCGGGGUUAGAAAGUUGGCUGUCAGAAGGAGUACAAUGUAAAUGUACUUUUAAUCCAUCUGUCUGCAUAUUUCAAGACGUGGCAUAUGAGAUCCCCGAUGGUUUUCUCUUCAAUCAUCUUAAAUACUGAUCAUCUUAAAUACUGUACUUAAAAACUGGAAGUCAACCUAUCCUCCCCUCCUUGAGCUAGCUACCGAGCUAGCAUACAAACUCUGUAGCACAGAGUAUUGAUCAUCGACAAUAAAGGUAAAAAUUAAAUCGAUAUGACGUUGAGAAAUAGUGCAUUGUGGGUAGCUUAGAAUAAAUAAGUUAAGAAAUAUGUAACAACGCAAAAACAUAACUGUUUGUACUCAUAGGUAACCAGAUCGCGACCACAAGUUACAAAGUCUAACCACACUGUGUUGUUACACUGGUGAUUAAAAACUCAUGCUUCUGUAACAGGGUUAUUUAUAUUGGUGAUUCCCCUUGCCACUUUAUUGUUAAGCCAAUGGGUUUUUGGUUUGAGUUUGUCUUGCCUUCACCUACUCAAAAUGGCAUCUUAUUGGCUGGUUUGCGUAGCUUGCUUACGAGGGGGGGGGGGGUGUUCCAGUUAGAAUCGUCCCAGUGAACAAGCACCAAACCAGCGGUAAGUUGUUGGUUGCAAAGCACUGUACAUCAAAAGUGAUUUUUACACUCUCAAGUGACGAUUUAAAUGUACAAUUUAUAUCAAAUUGUUUGUAAAUGUUAUUCGAACAUCACACAUAAGAUGCAGCAGUUUUUGGAGAAUAUUUGUUGUGAAUUUUGUUGUAAAGAAUUCCCGCCAGUGUACUAGCUAGCAACUUACUGUGUCUGGUGGGGGGGUUCAUACAUUUUGUACAGUGCGUGAGUGCAGAGUUGGAUGUUGAGACGUGCAUUGCAUGUCGUGCAAUUUUGUGCCGUUCCUAUCAGGUACAUUGUUACAGAUAUUAUAUUGUAUAUUGUAAUUGUAUUAUUUUGGUAACUAGCCCAGUGAACAAGCACCAAACCAGCGUGCGUGAGUGCAGAGUUGGAUUGUGAGACGUGCAUUGCAUGACGUGCAAUUUUGUGCGGUUCCUAUCAGAAUAAAUCUACAUGACUGGUGCUACAUGUUGGAGUUCCGUGUCGAUGACUGAUUGUACACAACGCAAGAAGAGUACUGUUACACUUCCUACACUGACUUACAACAGUAAGUCAGCCACCUCGGUAGCUUGCUAGACAAAAUAGCCGAACCAAUAAAACUCUUUAGACACUUUAGUGUUUAUUAGCCACUGUGUUUUAAACCCACUUCUGUCGUCUAGUUAGUUGACCGAUUUCAUUUCAUAUCUACGGUGUUGUUGUUAUUAGUGUUGGAUCCUGUGUUUUACAUUAUAGCCAUUAGUAUAUAUAUGAUUAAAUAUAAUCUGAUGUUGGUUGUGUGAGGUGUCUGCAUUUGUGCACUGGAGCAUCAUUAUGAGAUUAAACAACUGCUUUCUACUUACCUGCAUGUUGCAAAACUAGAUAACAGCCCAGCAGAUGCUUUGUCCUUGUGUUUGUAUGUAACAAUAUUGAGCACAUGGUGUGACUUGCUGUAUCUUACAAAGUUGUGAUAGGGAGGGGUGGUCAUCACGAGGUUUAACUGAGAUGGAAAAAUACUGAACAACACAAUAGCAGGAACUGAGCAACUGUUCUAAUUAGGCUGCGAUACCAGAACAGUAAGGAUCUAUACAUCGAGGAGGGAGAACUCCAAGAGGCGGGGACCCGCCUGAGCGCCUGCAAUAGGCUGGGCAAGUUUAAACCACGCCCAGCCUCUACUGUGAUAGGCCAACAGACGGGUUGGAGCUAUGUCUAUCACCGUAUAAAGAAUACUGUUUACAUACAUCUUGUCAGUUCUCUGUUCUGCCUUGUGUGGUAUUACAGUGAGCCCGCAUUUGCUAUUUAUUACUUAGCUAAUAAAAAAUACAUAGUAUAAAAUCGGCUACUCAUUGUUAUAUUUAUCCUGAUACCAGAUUCGAAUUUACGCAAUUCUAACAUUAGUCAGCUAGCGGGCUGGUUAAGUUAGCAUAGCUAACAUCCACGACCAUGAGGUCACGAAGCUACUCCUGCUGAAGAAGAGGUCUGCUGGACGGAUAAAGAAGCUCUGGGGCUGAACAUUGUCGUGAAAGAGGAGAAGGAAGAGGAGGAUGUCACAGUAAAACAAGAAGUAGAGGGUGAGACUGUUACAGUGAAAGAAGAAGAGAAAGUUGUUUCAGUGAAAGAAGAAAAAGACGUGUUCAGAGUGAAAGAGGAUGAUGUUACUGUAAAAGGAGAGGAGGAUUACGUUUUUGGAGUGAAAGAGGAAGAGGGUGAGAAUUAGAAUUGCGUUAUAUCGAAAAAGGAAGAGGAGGAAACUGGAUAUCUGGGCCCGGUUUCCCAAACGCAUCUUAAGACAUCCAAUGGUUUUAACGAUGAACGUAGCCAUAAGGUGGUUUUGAGAAACCGUUCCCCAGAUUAACACUAGAGAGAGACGUGACUAUCGCGGAGCCUCAACAACCUCAUGAUGCUGACAAGGCAGAGAAGAGUCUCUCCACAUUAGAACACCUCAAGAAACACCAGCAGAAACCCACAGGGAAGAGAACUCACCGCUGCUCUGACUGUGGGAAGAGAUUCACCUCAUCAGCGGGCAUUAAAAUGCAUCAAAGAAUCCACACUGGGAGAAAUCUUUUAGCUGUAUUUUCAAUGUGGGAAGAGUUUUUACUCAUUCAGCCAGCCUGAAAUCACACCGUAGAACACACACAGGAGAGAAGUCUUAUAGCUGUGCUCAAUGUGGGAAGAGUUUUACUACGUCUAGCAAGCGGACUACAAACCAUAUAACACAUAGAGGAGAGAAGCCUCAGCUGUGAUCAGUGUGACCAGAGAUAAUCUGAUAAAAUACCUCUGAUCAAACAUCAGAAAAUACAUACAUGAAGGAGUUGUUUCAUGAUAUCAAAGAAUUAAUGUCACAAUGUAGAAUGUUUUAACAAUGUACGAAAAGUAUUUUAACGAUGUCACAAUGUAGAAUGUUUAAACAUUUUAAUAAUGUCACAGUGUAGAACUCUAAACGUUUGCCCCCUGUUCUAUUGAUUUCAACUUGAUAGGUAUAUUAGCCUCACGGAAAAAUACAGGCCUUGAAUUGAAAGAGUUACUAUAUAUGUGAUUUAACAAAAAUUGACUAACAAAAAAAGAGUUGUGUUACAGUUACCACAUUGGUGACCCACUUGACUCAAUAUACAACACAUCAAAAUGUAGCAAGCUUUUUUCUACAAAUUGUCCUCUAACCAGGGAUAUACACAUUAUUCCCAGAUUCCGUGUGGUUUUUGAGCUGUUAGUUUUAACAGGACAUGCAACCUCAUCUCCCUCCUCUCGCACAAAUGAUUUUAGCGAUGAGUUAUGACAAAUAAGUGUUGUGUUCCUUUGUUUAGCGACCCCUACAUUUAAAUGCAUCACUCCAAAAUGUAGCUGACUGUCUUCUGCAGGUUGUCUUUUAAUCUCCCAUUUCCAUGUGUUUUUUUAGUUGUGUUAGUUUCAACAGCAUGUACAACCUGAUUUCCCCCCUAAUCGAUAUCAAUGAUUUAUUGCCACUUGUCAAAACAACAGUGUUUCUGGUGCUCGUACAGUUUAUAAGGAGCUUGUUUAAACAAUACAAGUAAUAUGAUUAUUGUGGCAGAUGUUUGUGUAUAUAGCCCAUUUUAUGUUUUCAAUUUAUACUAACUGUUUCUGCAUAUUGGUUAUUGAUUUGUACACGUUAAAACUGUGUUUUGACAUUGGGGAUAGCUCACCUAGUAAAAUGUAAUUGAAAAGAUGUUGGAAAUAAGACUACGCAACCAAAUAUUUCAUAUUUACAUUUCAUGUAACAUUUAGUAAUCAUAAUUAUUUAUGUAACCAACUGACUUUUUUUUUUUUACAUUGUUACAAUUAUAAUAUAAUUGUUGAGGUUAUAUUGACAUUGUUGCCCUGCUUUUAGAAUAUCAGGACUCAUUCUCAGAUGUGCCAACCCAAAUGUACUAGAGCAUGUGGUAAGGACAACUUGGUUGCUGAUUGUCUCAAGGGUGGGCAGUCAAAAUAUUUGUAUUGUGCAUUUAACCAGUGUGUUACCAUGGAUCACAAUUUAUUUUGACACAUUUUUCUGUGUUGGAGAUGAGUUUUAUCUCUUCUUCUUAUCCGUAUUGUUUUUAAUCUGAACUGUUGGUUAGGGGCUCAUACGUAAGCAUUUCACUGUUAGGUCUACACAUGUAUUCUGCGCAUGUGACUAAUACAAUUUGAUUUGAGUUUGGUUUGGGCUCGUACCAAGGGGACGAGAGUUCUAGAAGCUUGUGAGUUUUAGGAAGACGAGAGCAAUGUAAAGAGAUGGGGUGAAUGAGUGGGGAAAAGUACAUUUGACACAAAUUACCUUCAUAAUAUCAAAGAACAAAUGUGUGUAUGAGGGGAAUUAACUUUCAUAGAGCCAAAAAGGGUGAGAAAUUACACCAAUACCAGUGGUCAAUUUUCACUAAUGUAAAUAAACAUAGAUGAUGGAA